AAAAAGGCAAUAUAGGCGUUAGUAGUGAAAUCUGGUUUUCUAAAGCAAAAGGUAAUCAUUAUUAUUUACUUGCUAUUGACGCUACUCAUCUCUUAAGUAACAUUCUUUAAUCUUAAAAAUAUUUAACAGUGAUUAUCUUAAUAGUUGUCACUUCUUAUAUAGAAUGAAACCCUUACUUGUCUUAUGUAAUACAGAUAAACAUACCUCAAUUUCUACAAGAGAUUUGUUCCUAAAUUGAAAUUGCCCAAUAACUCAGGUAUUUUCACAGGGGGAAAAAUAUACAUAGCACCAAGACACAACAAUAUACAUCUGAGUAGUAUAAAUGUGUUGUUUCAAACAACGUGUUUCUCCAGAAAUAAUUAUCUAACAAAGCACUGAUGAGCUAGGUGCUUUGGCGCUGCAUGGCUGGGGACUGAGGUGACCGGCUCUGUGAGUGGGCAGGAGGUGACCCGUCACGGGGACUGUGGUGACCAGCUCUGUGAGUGGGCAGGAGGUGACCUGUCACGAGGACUGUGGUGACCACUCUGUGAGUGGACAGGAGGUGACCCGUCACGGGGACUGUGGUGACCGCUCUGUGAGUGGGCAGGAGGUGACCCGUCACAACGAGGCAGGAGCAGCCGGGCUCAGGAGAUGCCUGCAGGGCGGCUUCCAACAGCUCUUCUCUGCUCAGCACUCCACACCUGGCCUCUUCCUGACAUUCAGGAUACAGGUGGGGAAGUUUUGG